rnacentral:rRNA from 1 species
GUGUCAGCAGCCGCGGUAAGACGGAGGGUGCAAACGUUGUUCGGAAUCACUGGGCAUAAAGAGCACGUAGGCUGCGCGCUAAGUCAGGUGUGAAAUCCCCCGGCUCAACCGGGGAACUGCACCUGAUACUGGCGUGCUCGAGGACGGUAGGGGUGAGUGGAACUCCAGGUGGAGCGGUGAAAUGCGUAGAUAUCUGGAGGAACACCGGUGGCGAAAGCGGCUCACUGGACCGUCUCUGACGCUGAGGUGCGAAAGCUAGGGUAGCAAACGGGAUUAGAUACCCCCGUAGUCC